UACGGAGGGUGCAAGCGUUACUCGGAAUUACUGGGCGUAAAGCGUGCGUAGGUGGUUUGUUAAGUCUGUUGUGAAAGCCCCGGGCUCAACCUGGGAAUGGCAAUGGAUACUGGCAAGCUAGAGUGCGGUAGAGGGUAGUGGAAUUCCCGGUGUAGCGGUGAAAUGCGUAGAUAUCAGGAGGAACACCGAUGGCGAAGGCAGCUCACUGGGACGGUACUGACGCUGAGACGCGAAAGCGUGGGGAGCAAACAGG
rnacentral:rRNA from 1 species